GUCCCAGUAGCUCAGACUGGUAGAGCACGUACGAUUGUUGAUGGUAAGCACGGGGUCCCGGGUUCAAAUCCCGGCUGGGGCU
rnacentral:tRNA from 1 species